rnacentral:rRNA from 1 species
CACGUAGGGUGCGAGCGUUGUCCGGAAUUAUUGGGCGUAAAGGGCGCGUAGGCGGCGAUUCAAGUGACGGGUGAAAUCCCUCGGCUUAACCGAGGAACUGCCUGUCAGACUGGAUUGCUUGAGGCCGGGAGAGGUGAGUGGAAUUCCCAGUGUAGCGGUGAAAUGCGUAGAUAUUGGGAGGAACACCAGUGGCGAAGGCGGCUCGCUGGACCGGUUCUGACGCUGAGGCGCGAAAGCGUGGGGAGCAAACAGG